rnacentral:rRNA from 1 species
CGUCUAGGCGGGGAAUUAAGUUAGGUGUGAAAUCCAUGGGCUCAACUCGUGAAUUGCAUCUAAAACUGGUUCUCUUGAGUUCGGGAGAGGAGAGCAGAAUUCCUGGUGUAGCGGUAAAAUGCGUAGAUAUCAGGAGGAAUACCAGUGGCGAAGGCGGCUCUCUGGCCUAGGACUGACGCUGAAGCGCGAAAGCGUGGGGAGCGAACG